rnacentral:rRNA from 1 species
AUGCAUGCACCUUCACCGCCUGCAGAGGAAAUGGAAAGAGAGGUGGAGCUGGUGCAGGCUUUCCAGGCCAUCGAGGCGGCCGCGCAGAGGUUCUUCGUCACGUACCAACAGGUCGUGGCGGCGGUGUGUGCCAUGAUGGAGGUGUCGGGCAAACGGGCGCUGUUCGUGCCAGCGAGCUCCACAUUCUGGUUCGACAUGAAGAAAGAGUACAAUGAUCGUUGGAGAGUGGAGACGGUGGAAGAGGGUGGGAACCACAUGAUCAUUGCAGCGCUUUGCUACUUACCAUUGUCAUGUAGAGGGUGCUCCCGGGUGAUUGGCAAUGCAUGCCAGUUACCAUUUGUUGGUUAG